rnacentral:rRNA from 1 species
GAUGAACGCUGGCGGCGUGCCUAAUACAUGCAAGUCGAGCGAAUGGAUUAAGAGCUUGCUCUUAUGAAGUUAGCGGCGGACGGGUGAGUAACACGUGGGUAACCUGCCCAUAAGACUGGGAUAACUCCGGGAAACCGGGGCUAAUACCGGAUAACAUUUUGAACCGCAUGGUUCGAAAUUGAAAGGCGGCUUCGGCUGUCACUUAUGGAUGGACCCGCGUCGCAUUAGCUAGUUGGUGAGGUAACGGCUCACCAAGGCAACGAUGCGUAGCCGACCUGAGAGGGGGAUCGGCCACACUGGACUGAGACACGGCCCAGACUCCUACGGGAGGCAGCAGUAGGGAAUCUUCCGCAAUGGACGAAAGUCUGACGGAGCAACGCCGCGUGAGUGAUGAAGGCUUUCGGGUCGUAAAACUCUGUUGUUAGGGAAGAACGAGUGCUAGUUGAAUAAGCUGGCACCUUGACGGUACCUAACCAGAAAGCCACGGCUAACUACGUGCCAGCAGCCGCAGUAA